UGGGGAAUAUUGCACAAUGGGGGAAACCCGUGAUGCAGCGACGCCGCGUGAGUGAAGAAGUAUUUCGGUAUGUAAAGCUCUAUCAGCAGGGAAGAAGAAGGACGGUACCUGAGUAAGAAGCCCCGGCUAACUACGUGCC
rnacentral:rRNA from 1 species